ensembl:lncRNA
UGGAGGAGGACGCAGCAGUCUUCAUUAGUAUUCAGAACACCCCCUUAUAGUCCCAUUUCCCCCGUUAUCUCCUCCAGCUGCUGCGAUCUGAUUAGUUAUAUUUAACUGAGUGAAUCACGGAAAUAAGUGAUGUUAAUUGAUGAUAAGCUGAAGGUUUUAUAGUCCAUGUAAUUGUCCAUGAAACUUUUCAAUGGAAGUCGACCCGUAAGCAAACUUUUCAAAACGCAGCUUCACGUCGUUUGAACCUUCCAGACAGCGCGGUGAUUAAACGAGAGGCCGUGCGGUGUUAAAGUGACCCCGAGAUAUACCCAACCCACAAAAAUCCACAUUUCAACAAUAAACCAUUCUUACUGAUGUAACAAAUUCAGAAUUUGGUUUCUCUCCGUUUCGUUUCAGUUUGCAGUUCUGUGAGCUUUAAUCCCUAACAAGAGCCAGGUAACAUCCGGAAGCGUUUCACAACGAUUUGCCUACAAUUAAAAUCCGUACGUUAAUAAUAACAAACAUGUCACACUUUUUGUGUAUUUAGAGUUUAAAUAAACGUUAUCACUCACGUUAUAGCAUCUAUAAACAGUCAUUCGCUCACGUCUUCACGUUAUAGUAUCUAUAAACAGUCAUUCGCUCACGUCCUCACGUUAUAGCAUUUAUAAACAGUCAUUCGCUCACGUCUUCACGUUAUGAUAUCUAUAAACAGUCAUUCGCUCACGUCCUCACGUUAUAGUAUCUAUAAACAGUCAUUCGCUCACGUCCUCACGUUAUAGCAUUUAUAAACAGUCAUUCACUCACGUUAUAGUAUCUAUAAACAGUCAUUUGCUCACGUCCUCACGUUAUAGCAUCUAUAAACAGUCAUUCGCUCACGUCUUCACGUUAUGAUAUCUAUAAACAGUCAUUCGCUCACGUCUUCACGUUAUAGUAUCUAUAAACAGUCAUUCGCUCACGUUAUAGUAUCUAUAAAGUCAUUUGCUCACGUCCUCACGUUAUAGCAUCUAUAAACAGUCAUUCGCUCACGUCCUCACGUUAUAGCAUCUAUAAACAGUCAUUCGCUCACAUCCUCACGUUAUAGCAUCUAUAAACAGUCAUUCGCUCACGUCCUCACGUUAUAGCAUCUAUAAACAGUCAUUUGCUCACGUUAUAGUAUCUAUAAAGUCAUUUGCUCACGUCCUCACGUUCUAGUAUCUAUAAACAGUCAUUCGCUCACGUCCUCACGUUAUAGUAUCUAUAAACAGUCAUUCACACACAUUAUAGCAUCUAUAAAGUCAUUCGCUCACGUCCUCAAGUUAUAGUAUCUAUAAAGUCAUUCGCUCACGUCCUCACGUUCUAGUAUCUAUAAACAGUCAUUCGCUCACGUACUCACGUUAUAGCAUCUAUAAACAGUCAUUCGCUCACGUCCUCA